rnacentral:rRNA from 1 species
GAUGAACGCUGGCGGCGUGCCUAAUACAUGCAAGUCGAGCGAACAGAUGAGGAGCUUGCUCCUCUGACGUUAGCGGCGGACGGGUGAGUAACACGUGGAUAACCUACCUAUAAGACUGGGAUAACUUCGGGAAACCGGAGCUAAUACCGGAUAAUAUAUUGAACCGCAUGGUUCAAUAGUGAAAGACGGUUUUGCUGUCACUUAUAGAUGGACCCGCGCCGCAUUAGCUAGUUGGUAAGGUAACGGCUUACCAAGGCAACGAUGCGUAGCCGACCUGAGAGGGUGAUCGGCCACACUGGAACUGAGACACGGUCCAGACUCCUACGGGAGGCAGCAGUAGGGAAUCUUCCGCAAUGGGCGAAAGCCUGACGGAGCAACGCCGCGUGAGUGAUGAAGGUCUUCGGAUCGUAAAACUCUGUUAUUAGGGAAGAACAAAUGUGUAAGUAACUAUGCACGUCUUGACGGUACCUAAUCAGAAAGCCACGGCUAACUACGUG